GCCGGCGGGGCCGGCCUGGGCGGCGGCGACGAUGUCGUCGUCGUGCCACUCGGUGCCGAUGCCGUUGACGCGGAUCGUCACGGUGCGCCGGCC
rnacentral:tRNA from 1 species